UACAGAGGGGGCAAGCGUUGUUCGGAAUUACUGGGCGUAAAGGGCGCGUAGGCGGCCUUCUAAGUCGAACGUGAAAUCCCUGGGCUCAACCCAGGAACUGCGUCCGAUACUGGGAGGCUUGAAUCCGGGAGAGGGAUGCGGAAUUCCAGGUGUAGCGGUGAAAUGCGUAGAUAUCUGGAGGAACACCGGUGGCGAAGGCGGCAUCCUGGACCGGCAUUGACGCUGAGGCGCGAAAGCGCGGGGAGCGA
rnacentral:rRNA from 1 species